rnacentral:rRNA from 1 species
CGGCAACAGCUCAAAUUUGAAAUCUGGCCCCUCGGGGUCCGAGUUGUAAUUUGUAGAGGAUGCUUUUGGUGAGGUGCCGCCCGAGUUCCCUGGAACGGGACGCCACAGAGGGUGAGAGCCCCGUCUGGCUGGCCACCGAGCCUCUGUAAAGCUCCUUCGAC